rnacentral:rRNA from 1 species
CAGCCGCCGCGGUAAUACGUAGGGUGCGAGCGUUAAUCGGAAUUACUGGGCGUAAAGCGUGCGCAGGCGGUUAUAUAAGACAGAUGUGAAAUCCCCGGGCCCAACCUGGGACCUGCAUUUGUGACUGUAUAGCUAGAGUACGGUAGAGGGGGAUGGAAUUCCGCGUGUAGCAGUGAAAUGCGUAGGUAUGCGGAGGAACACCGAUGGCGAAGGCAAUCCCCUGGACCUGUACUGACGCUCAUGCACGAAAGCGUGGGAAGCAAACAGGAUUAGAUACCCCGGUAGUCCCUGUCUCUUAUAA